GGCUUCACCGGUGGCCUAGUGGUUAUAGUGUCCGCUUCGGAUGCAGAGGUCGUGGAAUCGAUCCCCGGUCGAGUCA